rnacentral:rRNA from 1 species
CCUACGGGAGGCAGCAGUGGGGAAUUUUGGACAAUGGGCGAAAGCCUGAUCCAGCAAUGCCGCGUGAGUGAAGAAGGCCUUCGGGUUGUAAAGCUCUUUUGUCAGGGAAGAAACGGUGAGGGCUAAUAUCCCUUGCUAAUGACGGUACCUGAAGAAUAAGCACCGGCUAACUACGUGCCAGCAGCCGCGGUAAUACGUAGGGUGCAAGCGUUAAUCGGAAUUACUGGGCGUAAAGCGUGCGCAGGCGGUUUUGUAAGUCUGUCGUGAAAUCCCCGGGCUCAACCUGGGAAUUGCGAUGGAGACUGCAAGGCUAGAAUCUGGCAGAGGGGGGUUAGAAUUCCACGUGUAGCAGUGAAAUGCGUAGAGAUGUGGAGGAACACCGAUGGCGAAGGCAGCCCCCUGGGUCAAGAUUGACGCUCAUNCACGAAGACGUGGGAGGACGAACAGAGUAGUAUACCUACGUAGUCGACCGACCCGUAACCGUACUAGUCUACUAGUUAGUUCGGUUUAACGUUUAACUUAGUUACGUACGA